rnacentral:rRNA from 1 species
AGUGAACGCUGGCGGUGGGCCUAACACAUGCAAGUCGAACGGCAGCACAGUAAGAGCUUGCUCUUACGGGUGGCGAGUGGCGGACGGGUGAGGAAUACAUCGGAAUCUACUUUUUCGUGGGGGAUAACGUAGGGAAACUUACGCUAAUACCGCAUACGACCUACGGGUGAAAGCAGGGGAUCUUCGGACCUUGCGCGAUUGAAUGAGCCGAUGUCGGAUUAGCUAGUUGGCGGGGUAAAGGCCCACCAAGGCGACGAUCCGUAGCUGGUCUGAGAGGAUGAUCGGCCACACUGGAACUGAGACACGGUCCAGACGCCUACGGGAGGCAGCAGUGGGGAAUAUUGGACAAUGGGCGCAAGCCUGAUCCAGCCAUACCGCGUGGGUGAAGAAGGCCUUCGGGUUGUAAAGCCCUUUUGUUGGGAAAGAAAAGCAGCAGGUUAAUACCCCGCUGUUCUGACGGUACCCAAAGAAUAAGCACCGGCUAACUUCGUG